rnacentral:tmRNA from 1 species
UCGUUAUCGGGCUAAAUGAGUAGUUGCAAACGACAACUAUGCGGAAGCACGUCUCGCUGCUUAAGCAGUGCGAAGGCUUCAAAUUAAGCCUUAAACUGUCGCAGGUUUAAGCGGGGU